GGCCUGAUGGCGCAAUGGUAGCGCGCUACUUUCCGGUUGUCUCCUGCUGGUAGAGGUUCUGGGUUCGAGUCCCAGUUGGGUCG